CAGUCGUACCUUCGGGUAAUCAGCCUUUCGGGUGCGAUUCUGUGGAGUGUGAGGAGCUUAACACCUUCAUGCUUUGCAUAUUUGUGCUCUUGGGUGUACUUGCCCGUGUGGUUGGUUAACAUCAAUUUUGGUUAUCAUAAAAUGAUUGGAGGAAUGUAGCUUCGAUCUCGUAUUGAAGUGUUAUAGCCUUCGGUAGAUGUGAUGAUCGAGAUCGAGGAUUGCAACGAAUACCCUUUUGGGCUAUCCGUCUGAUCUCUGAUACGUUGCCUCGGUAACGAAAGCGUGCUUACGGUAUUGAGGUAUAACGGUCAAAAGGUUAAAACGUGAUUACA
rnacentral:rRNA from 1 species